CACAUAGCGACGCAAGAAGAUACAAACAUCACGCUGGCAUAGAGACGCACAGUGAAAUCUCUCAGACACAGCAGGGCAGCCAUGAAGUAACAAUUGACAGAAACAGACCCAGUGCCGACGUCCCUAAAAAAUAUCAUUGAUAUCAUUAUGCCAGGACAUGGGCGUGAUCUUUUUCAGAUGCAUACAACCCCCCACCCCCAAAUACUAGCGGUGUUCCAUAUCGACAUCCUCCCUCUUUAAACCCCUCUUACGUACUUUCCGUCCAUCUUAGAGAAAACCCCUCUGCAAACCAGCCUACACGUAUUCGACACUCGACAGGAAACUUUAAUCUGUGUCAGUCUGGAGCUUACAAGUAACCAGCCCCAACUGCUGACUUCAUCAUUUCAUCAUUCACAUCUUCAAGCUGUAUUAGCCCUCAUGUCAGCACUCUUUGUGUGAAUAGGCAAUGCCUUCCCCUGUCCUGCAGCUCCC